rnacentral:lncRNA from 1 species
GGAGCCAAGAUCUCUAGCAUGGAGAAAGGGGUCUUCUACAAGACCCCUGAAAAUCUACAUAUUUAUCAAAAUAACAUUUUUUACUCUAUUUCCCUAAUAGCUUCAGGUGGUAAUCACCGAGAAGAGGAAGAAGAAACAGAACAUGAAGAGAUGUAGGCUAUGGUGGUGCCAAGGUAGGGGUGAUGGCCCUUGCCCGCGUUUAGAUGAUGCGCGGUGGCACCAAGGGAAGCGCUGCAGGACGAGGUGUGUGGAGAAGAGAAAAGAAAAAGAAAAAGAGGGGGGGACUCAUGGUGGCUGGGGAUGGAGGAAGGGAAAGGGGUCGUGGUGGUUAAGGAUGGAGAAAGAGGAAGGGUGUAGUGGUUGGGGGCAGAGAAGGGGAGGGAGUGUGGUGGUUGGGGGCAGAGGAAACACUGAAGGGAGAGGAAAAAGAAA